UACGUAGGGAGCAAGCGUUGUCCGGAAUCAUUGGGCGUAAAGCGCGCGUAGGUGGCUUCGUAAGUCCGUUGUGAAAGUCAAAGGCUCAACCUUUGAAAGCCGAUGGAUACUGCGGAGCUAGAGUACGGAAGAGGCGAGUGGAAUUCCUGGUGUAGCGGUCGAAUGCGCAGAUAUCAGGAGGAACACCAAUAGCGAAGGCAGCUCGCUGGGACGUUACUGACACUGAGGCGCGAAAGCGUGGGGAGCGAACAGG
rnacentral:rRNA from 1 species